UACGUAGGUGGCAAGCGUUGUCCGGAAUUAUUAGGCGUAAAGCGCGCGCAGGCGGUUCCUUAAGUCUGAUGUGAAAGCCCACGGCUCAACCGUGGAGGGUCAUUGGAAACUGGGGAACUUGAGUGCAGGAGAGAAGAGUGGAAUUCCACGUGUAGCGGUGAAAUGCGUAGAGAUGUGGAGGAACACCAGUGGCGAAGGCGACUCUUUGGCCUGUAACUGACGCUGAGGCGCGAAAGCGUGGGGAGCAAACAGG
rnacentral:rRNA from 1 species